rnacentral:rRNA from 1 species
CAUAGCCUUUAGCUAAACAAGUAUUAAAGGUCCAGCCUGCCCAGUGAUCACUUUAACGGCCGCGGAACUAUAACCGUGCGAAGGUAGCAUAAUCAUUUGUCCCCCAAUUAGGGACUAGUAUGAACGGCUAAAUGAGGACUAAACUGUCUCCUUUGGUUACCCAAUGAAACUGAUCUCCUAGUACAAAAGCUAGGAUAAACCAAUAAGACGAGAAGACCCUGUGGAGCUUAAAACACACCUAUUACCCUACCACCAUGUAAAACCUUUGUGCGUAAUAGUAGUUUUUAGUUGGGGCGACUGCGGAUAAAAACAAAACAUCCAUGACAACAGGCUCACACCCCCCACCGGCAAACAAGCUACACAUUGACCCAGUAUAACUGAUUAACGAACCAAGUUACCCCAGGGAUAACAGCGCCAUCCCCUUAAAGAGCCCGUAUCACCAAGGGGGCUUACGACCUCGAUGUUGGAUCAGGACUCCCAGGCGGCGCAGCCACUGCCAACGGUUCGUUUGUUCAACGAUUAAUGUCCUACGUGAUCUGAU